rnacentral:rRNA from 1 species
GACAGAGGGUGCAAACGUUGUUCGGAAUUACUGGGCGUAAAGCGCGUGUAGGCGGUCGGGCAAGUCGGGUGUGAAAGCCCAGGGCUCAACCCUGGAAGUGCAUUCGAUACUGUCGGGCUAGAGUCCGGAAGAGGCGAGUGGAAUUCCCGGUGUAGCGGUGAAAUGCGCAGAUAUCGGGAGGAACACCAAUGGCGAAGGCAGCUCGCUGGGACGGUACUGACGCUGAGACGCGAAAGCGUGGGGAGCAAACAGGG